GACGAAGGGGGCUAGCGUUGUUCGGAAUUACUGGGCGUAAAGCGCGUGUAGGCGGUUGCCCAAGUCGGGUGUGAAAACGCGAGGCUUAACCUCGCGCCUGCAGUGGGUACGGGCAGACUAGAGUGCGGUAGGGGAGACUGGAAUUCCUGGUGUAGCGGUGGAAUGCGCAGAUAUCAGGAGGAACACCGGUGGCGAAGGCGGGUCUCUGGGCCGAUACUGACGCUGAGGAGCGAAAGCGUGGGGAGCGAACAGG
rnacentral:rRNA from 1 species